rnacentral:rRNA from 1 species
UUUGUCAGCUUCUCGCGCAGCGAAGAUUGCGUCGAUUGGAGUCUGGCGUUGGGUUCGCGUCCACAAAAGUCCACCACGACUUGACCUCGGAUCAGGUAGGGAUACCCGCUGAACUUAAGCAUAUCAAUAAGCGGAGGAAAAGAAACCAACAGGGAUUGCCCUAGUAACGGCGAGUGAAGCGGCAACAGCUCAAAUUUGAAAUCUGACUCCUUUGGGUGUCCGAGUUGUAAUUUGCAGAGGGUGCUUUGGUGUUGUCGGCGGUCUAAGUUCCUUGGAACAGGACAUCACAGAGGGUGAGAAUCCCGUUUGUGGUCGCCAGCCUUCGCCGUGUAAAGCCCCUUCGACGAGUCGAGUUGUUUGGGAAUGCAGCUCUAAAUGGGAGGUAAAUUUCUUCUAAAGCUAAAUACCGGCCAGAGACCGAUAGCGCACAAGUAGAGUGAUCGAAAGAUGAAAAGCACUUUGGAAAGAGAGUCAAAAAGCACGUGAAAUUGUUGAAAGGGAAGCGCUUGCAGCCAGACUUGCCCGUAGUUGCUCACCCGGACUUUUGCCCGGGGUACUCUUCUGCGGGCAGGCCAGCGUCAGUUUGGGCGGUUGGAUAAAGGCCUCUGUCAUGUAUCUCCCUUCGGGGUGACCUUAUAGGGGAGGCGUAAUGCAGCCAGCCCGGACUGAGGUCCGCGC